CUAUCUACAGGCUUAACACAUGCAAGUCGAGGGGCAUCAGGAAGAAAGCUUGCUUUCUUUGCUGGCGACCGGCGCACGGGUGAGUAACACGUAUCCAACCUGCCCUUUACUCGGGGAUAGCCUUUCGAAAGAAAGAUUAAUACCCGAUGGCAUAAUGAUUCCGCAUGGUUUCAUUAUUAAAGGAUUCCGGUAAAGGAUGGGGAUGCGUUCCAUUAGGUUGUUGGUGAGGUAACGGCUCACCAAACCUUCGAUGGAUAGGGGUUCUGAGAGGAAGGUCCCCCACAUUGGAACUGAGACACGGUCCAAACUCCUACGGGAGGCAGCAGUGAGGAAUAUCGGUCAAUGGGCGCUAGCCUGAACCAGCCAAGUAGCGUGAAGGAUGAAGGCUCUAUGGGUCGUAAACUUCUUUUAUAUAAGAAUAAAGUGCAGUAUGUAUACUGUUUUGUAUGUAUUAUAUGAAUAAGGAUCGGCUAACUCCGUGCCAGCAGCCGCGGUAAUACGGAGGAUCCGAGCGUUAUCCGGAUUUAUUGGGUUUAAAGGGAGCGUAGGUGGACUGGUAAGUCAGUUGUGAAAGUUUGCGGCUCAACCGUAAAAUUGCAGUUGAUACUGUCAGUCUUGAGUACAGUAGAGGUGGGCGGAAUUCGUGGUGUAGCGGUGAAAUGCUUAGAUAUCACGAAGAACUCCGAUUGCGAAGGCAGCUCACUGGACUGCAACUGACACUGAUGCUCGAAAGUGUGGGUAUCAAACAGGAUUAGAUACCCUGGUAGUCCACACAGUAAACGAUGAAUACUCGCUGUUUGCGAUAUACAGUAAGCGGCCAAGCGAAAGCAUUAAGUAUUCCACCUGGGGAGUACGCCGGCAACGGUGAAACUCAAAGGAAUUGACGGGGGCCCGCACAAGCGGAGGAACAUGUGGUUUAAUUCGAUGAUACGCGAGGAACCUUACCCGGGCUUAAAUUGCAGUGGAAUGAUGUGGAAACAUGUCAGUGAGCAAUCACCGCUGUGAAGGUGCUGCAUGGUUGUCGUCAGCUCGUGCCGUGAGGUGUCGGCUUAAGUGCCAUAACGAGCGCAACCCUUAUCUUUAGUUACUAACAGGUUAUGCUGAGGACUCUAGAGAGACUGCCGUCGUAAGAUGUGAGGAAGGUGGGGAUGACGUCAAAUCAGCACGGCCCUUACGUCCGGGGCUACACACGUGUUACAAUGGGGGGUACAGAAGGCAGCUAGCGGGUGACUGUAUGCUAAUCCCAAAAGCCUCUCUCAGUUCGGAUUGAAGUCUGCAACCCGACUUCGUGAAGCUGGAUUCGCUAGUAAUCGCGCAUCAGCCACGGCGCGGUGAAUACGUUCCCGGGCCUUGUACACACCGCCCGUCAAGCCAUGGGAGCCGGGGGUACCUGAAGUACGUAACCGCAAGGAUCGUCCUAGGGUAAAACUGGUGACUGG
rnacentral:rRNA from 1 species